GGAUGCUCAGAAUGCAGGAAAUAGCAUUUCACGGUUUCAAAUUUCAAAAAUUUUCUUGGGAUUAUCCCUCCGAAUAAGUAAUGAUAAAUUACAGUUAAUAUUCUUUUUUACUUUUUGUGCAUUUUUCCAUCUGUUAUUUCAAAUACAACUAUAGUUAGCAUAAAUUUUAGAGCAAAUUUGGAUGCUCAGAAUGCAGGAAAUGGCAUUUCCGUGGUUCAAAUUUCAAAAAUUUUCUGGGGGAGUACACCCCCACACACCUGACCAUUGCUAUCCUCCUCUAAUAAGUAAUGAUAAAUGAUGGUUAUUUUUUUUUACUUUUUGUGUGUUUCUUCCUUUAUUUAUUUCAAAUACAAGUAUAGUUAGGAUAAAUUUUGGAGCAAAUUUGGAUGCUCAGAAUGCAGGAAAUGACAUUUCCGGGAGUCAAAUUUCAAAAAUUUUCUGGGGGAGUACACCCCCAGACCCCCCAUUCAUGCAUGCUAUAUUUGCCACACACGUGGCUUUUAGCCAUUGCUAUCCCCCUCUAAUAUAUUAUCUCACAGAAAGGUCCCUUUUCAAAAAAUGCCCCCCCAUGGGAAAAUCCUUAAAAAAGGCCCUGAGGUAAGGUUGACGCAUGCGCAGACGUUUUUUCGCGGUGUUCAUGCAGGUACCAGCUGGUUGCAUAUUUAUACAGUAUGGUUAAUUCUAUCAGCAACUU